rnacentral:rRNA from 1 species
UGGGGAAUUUUGGACAAUGGGGGAAACCCUGAUCCAGCCAUCCCGCGUGUGCGAUGAAGGCCUUCGGGUUGUAAAGCACUUUUGGCAGGAAAGAAACGUCGCGGGUUAAUACCCCGCGAAACUGACGGUACCUGCAGAAUAAGCACCGGCUAACUACGUGCCAGCAGCCGCGGUAAUACGUAGGGUGCAAGCGUUAAUCGGAAUUACUGGGCGUAAAGCGUGCGCAGGCGGUUCGGAAAGAAAGAUGUGAAAUCCCAGAGCUUAACUUUGGAACUGCAUUUUUAACUACCGGGCUAGAGUGUGUCAGAGGGAGGUGGAAUUCCGCGUGUAGCAGUGAAAUGCGUAGAUAUGCGGAGGAACACCGAUGGCGAAGGCAGCCUCCUGGGAUAACACUGACGCUCAUGCACGAAAGCGUGGGGAGCAAACAGGAUUAGAUACCCUGGUAGUCCACGCCCUAAACGAUGUCAACUAGCUGUUGGGGCCUUCGGGCCUUGGUAGCGCAGCUAACGCGUGGAGUUGACCGCCUGGGGAGUACGGUCGCAAGAUUAAAACUCAAAGGAAUUGAC